CUGAACGCAGCAGCGGCAGCGGGCUGGUUGAGGUGCCUGCG
rnacentral:SRP_RNA from 1 species